CUUGACAUCCAGAGAAUUUAGCAGAGAUGCUUUAGUGCCUUCGGGAACUCUGAGACAGGUGCUGCAUGGCUGUCGUCAGCUCGUGUUGUGAAAUGUUGGGUUAAGUCCGCAACGAGCGCAACCCUUAUCCCUUUGUUGCCAGCACGUAAUGGUGGGAACUCAAAGGAGACUGCCGGUGAUAAACCGGAGGAAGGUGGGGAUGACGUCAAGUCAUCAUGGCCCUUACGAGUAGGGCUACACACGUGCUACAAUGGCGUAUACAAAGAGAAGCGACCUCGCGAGAGCAAGCGGACCUCAUAAAGUGCGUCGUAGUCCGGAUUGGAGUCUGCAACUCGACUCCAUGAAGUCGGAAUCGCUAGUAAUCGUAAAUCAGAAUGUUACGGUGAAUACGUUCCCGGGCCUUGUACACACCGCCCGUCACACCAUGGGAGUGGGUUGCAAAAGAAGUAGAUAGCUUAACCUUCGGGAGGGCGUUUACCACUUUGUGAUUCAUGACUGGGGUGAAGUCGUAACAAGGUAAGCGUAGUGCU
rnacentral:rRNA from 1 species